UAAAAGAAAUUAGAUGCAUUGGUACUAGC
rnacentral:piRNA from 1 species